rnacentral:rRNA from 1 species
UGCAGAAUCCCGUGAACCAUCGAAUCUUUGAACGCAAGUUGCGCCCGACGCCUUCGGGCUGAGGGCACGCCUGCCUGGGCGUCACGCAUCGCGUCGCCCCCUCCCAAUCCCUCGUGGAUCGGUGAUGGGACGGAAAAUGGCCUCCCGUUAGCUCGGUUGGCCCAAAAGGGAUCCCUCGAAGACGGAUGUCACAACCAGUGGUGGUUGAAAAUAUCAUUUUGCUGUUGUGCUUCACCCUGUCUCUUGUAGGGCAUCGUUUGAACCCAACGGCGUCUAGUGCGCCUUCGACCGCGACCCCAGGUCAGACGGGAUUACCCGCUGAGUUUAAGCAUAUCAAUAAGCGGUGGAGAAGAAACUUACAAGGAUUCCCCUAGUAACGGCGAGCGAACCGGGAAUAGCCCAACUUGAGAAUCGGACGGCUUCGUCGUUCGA